rnacentral:rRNA from 1 species
GAUGAACGCUGGCGGCGUGCCUUAUACAUGCAAGUCGAGCGAACAGACGAGGAGCUUGCUCCUGUGAAGUUAGCGGCGGACGGGUGAUUCACACGUGGAUGACCUGCCUAUAAGACUAAGAUAACUUCGGGAAGCCUGAUCUAAUACCGGAUAAUCUAUUGAACCGCAUGGUUCAAAAGUCAAAGACGGUUUUGCUGUCACUUAUAGAUGGAUCCGCGCUGCAUUAGCAAGUUGGUAAGGUAACGGCUUACCAAGGCGACGAUGCGUAGCCGACCUGAGAGAGUGAUCGGCCACCUUGGAACGGAGACAGGCACCAGACUCCUACGGGAGGAAGCAGUAGGGAAUCUUCAGCAAUGGGCGAAAGCUUGACGGAGCAACGCCGCGUGAGGGAGGAAGGCCUCCGGAUCGAAACACUCUGUGAUUGGGGAAGAACACACCUGGAAGAAACCAUGCACGAAUUGCCGGACCCUAAUAAGAAGGACACGGCUAACUCCGUG